rfam:Ovis aries breed Texel chromosome 1, whole genome shotgun sequence.
UAGCUCAGACGGUAAAGCUUCUGCCUGCAAUGCAGGAGACCCGGGUUCAAUCCCUGG